rnacentral:rRNA from 1 species
CUUCAACCUUUAUUGGACAGAGUAUGCAAUCGACUACUGCCAUGGAUUGCUCGUUGGAUCACCGCGGUUGGUCGCCUCGUGCUAGUCAAGUCGGUCCUCACAUCCAUCCCCGUGUAUCACUCUAUCACGAUGCAGCUGCCCGUAUGGCUGAUCGAUGGGUUUGAGAAGAGGAUUCGUGCCUUCUUUUGAAAGGGGACCCACGUCGUCAGCGGUGGCCAUUGUCUGGUGGCUUGGGAGCAAGUGUGCAAGCCGUUCGAGUAUGGUGUUUUGGGCGCCCUGAACCUCAAGCUAUUAGGCUAUGCGUUUCGGGCAUGUUGGCUAUGGAUGCAACGCACAUCUGAUUGUUGUUGGUCGGGCCUGCAGCCGGCCGUGGAGCCUGAGGUGCACGCUAUUUUUGACUCGUCCAUCAAGGUGAUGUUGGGAUGGUAG